rnacentral:rRNA from 1 species
AUUGAACGCUGGCGGCAUGCCUUACACAUGCAAGUCGAACGGUAACGCGGGGCAACCUGGCGACGAGUGGCGAACGGGUGAGUAACGCAUCGGAACGUGCCCAGUAGCGGGGGAUAGCCCGGCGAAAGCCGGAUUAAUACCGCAUACGACCUACGGGUGAAAGGGGGGGAUCGCAAGACCUCUCGCUAUUGGAGCGGCCGAUGUCCGAUUAGGUAGUUGGUGGGGUAAAGGCCUACCAAGCCUGCGAUUUGUAGCUGGUAUGAGAGGACGACCAGCCACACUGCGACUGCGACACGGACCAGACUCCUACGGGAGGCAGCAGUGGGGAAUUUUGGACAAUGGGCGCAAGGCUGAUGCAGCCAUGCCGCGUGCGGGAAGAAGGCCUUCGGGUUGUAAACCGCUUUUGUCAGGGAAGAAAAGCCUUGGGUUAAUACCCUGGGGUGAUGACGGUACCUGAAGAAUAAGCACCGGCUAACUACGUGCCAGCCGCCGCGGUAA